CUUUUUCUCAAUAACUAUGCGUAGAACAGGUUUUGGACUCUGGGCGGCCGGUCGGAGCACACUUUUUUUUUGACUAUGUACUGCAAGGCAAAAAGCCUCACAGAUCUCUUUAUUAAAGAAAAGUUAACAAAGUCCUGUACAAGCUAAAAAGGGAGUAGAAUACUUACAAAGAUGAAUGUGAGUCAAAAAAAUCUAACUAGGGUAAGAGUAUAGCCAGUCCAAGUAACUAUCCUUAAAUUUACAUUUGAUCCUAUGAGUUAACAAGGGCAUAUCAUGAAUGAAGUUAUGCCUCCAGAGUCUGGACAAAGGCCUUUCAUUUCUGAAAAUCUUCCCAUUCCUGAUGAUCCAGAUGUUCCAAGCAGCAGUAAACACCACCUCAGUGAAGAAAGGCUUGCUAAAAUCCUUCCUAGCAUGCAGAGCCAUCUUAUAUGUGGUCAUCCCUGGCUGUGGCUCGGAGCACACUUGCCGUGCCAUGCCACGGCAGUUUGGUACUGAGAAUUCCCCGGCAGGGCACACUUGCCCGGUGAAAAUUCAGACUGACCACGAUUAAGGUGCUACGCAUGUGGCCUCGAUCGUGUAGGCUGCGUCGAAGGAGUCGUCAGGGAAUGGUAUGUCUCGCCCAAAGAAACGAGCCAGAAACGCUGUUUAUCAAGACAUUUUUCUUGCUGUACUUGGUCAGUUAAUUGAUUCACUGGCAAAGAUCUCUGUGUCACAGUUGGUACCUUGACAAAGUUGCAUAAUUUGCUCAGGCCACCAGCCAGCUGAACUGAUGAGUCCCUGCAAAUGUCACGCAUGGAGAUUUUUUGUUUUUUCAGAAGCGCAUACCCCAAGCAGUUCAUGUUUAAUUUGAACACGGGAAAACUGAUGUCCACGUGAUCUGGUACUCGUUGUUGUUCAACCCUGUCACCCUAAAUACCCUCAUAACCCUGCAUGAUCCAUGUCUGAAUGAAUACGAAGUGAGCAAGUAAUUCCACUUGUACAUGUGCCCAUCAUAUUUGUCCAUGCCACUCCACAUGUUCAGUUUUGCAACUUAAGCGGGCAUAAGUACGAUAACAGAUCGACAGGCCCAAAAGGCGAGUACUGCACCAUCCACACGAAUGGCACGCACAGCCAACAACCUAAAUGCAUAACACAACAGCUGUUUCGUGCAGCUAAUGCACAAAAGAUGCUUACAGACUAGAGCAUUCGUAGCACACAACAUACACAGGCUAAACCUCGUCUUGAGCUCCUUGAAGCGCCAAAGCGGGAAACUUGCAGUAGUAUGGCACGUAGAAUGCACGUCGGUACAGUUCAGAGAACAUCCGAAUCUUCAGAAUCUCUGAGCCUUUUCCAGUACUCAUGCUAAAUGAGAUGAUCCUAUGAGCAACUCUGUCAACAAGGAUAACUAGCUCUCUCUCCAAGUCAAAGGCCUGGAUGUCGUAAUCGAAGUACCAUAAUCCUUCAUGAUUAGUGCGGAGCAACAAAUCCCUCCCAAAGACAUUGUUCAUACUUAGACGGUGCUUCACUACCCACCUGCUGUCAGUGCCUUCCAAACUCCAAAUCCGCAUCAUACAACCAUCCAAUUCCUGUUGUGCAUAGCAUAAGACCCCUGAUGACUGGCAAAGACAACCAUCACAACAACCAAACAUCUCUGGCCCAUUUGGAAAUCCUGGCAGCUGAAUGAUCCUCUGACUGAGCCACUGCAUAGAUGGACCGGGUGCAUCGAUUGCCAGAAGGACAGGCUCCCAUAUAUGCCCCACAUAGAGUACCCCAUUCACAAAGCGUGAACUACCAUAAAAUCCUAUCUCACUUUUCCAGCGACAACUAGACCAUGUGAAAUCCUCGGAGAAAAAUAUCUUAACUUCAUUGUAGACUUCACCAUCCAUGGAAGGCCCAGACUGAAAGCUCAAGACAUAAAAGUGUUGAGACCAUGAUGGAUCAAAACACAGCAUGAGAUCAUAAUCAGAGUCUGCUGGUCCAGGUUCAGUAUUUGGAAGUGACAUCCACUCUUGAGUUGCCGGAUUGCACACAAUAACAUGGGAUAUGUCUGCAAAAUAUGAAGAAGUAGGCCAUUGCUGCAACCCUUAAGCUCUAGGUACUCAUAACAUGGCACAAAGCUAAGCGUUGUGUCAAUUUCUUUGUCGCUUGAGGGAAGCCUAGCGAGAUGGAUGCCAGUGCCAUACUGAGGUAUUUGGUGCCGAACCAGUGCCCCCAAACCUAGAUCUCACGGAGCCCUCCCAAAUCCUCUUCUCCUCAGGCACACAACCCCGCCGGCGAUGUUCCUCUCCUCCGCUGCCACCUACGUUCAUCUCCGCGACCGCCUCCCUCCAGCCACUGCCACCCUGCGUUGUAUCGCCGGCCCUUGACUCCUGCCGCACACUCCAUCUCGCCGCUCCACGGGUGCCUUGCGUCUGCCCGUCGCUCCCCAUCCACCUGAAGGCGGCCACCACUGACAAGCCCUCAUCUCUCAAGGCCGCCGCCGCUCCCCAUCCACCUGAAGGCGGCUGGCGGCCACCGCUCACGAGCGCUCUUCUCUCAAGGCCACCGCUGCUCCCCAUCCACCUGAAACCCGCGAGCGCUCAUGACCCUCCCCUCUCAAGCCCGAUGCCGUUCACAUCCGUGCUUCUCCCCCAACCAGCUAGAUCCCGACCUCCCCACUAGCGAGCUCCGCCGCCCCUCUGCCAUAUUGCUCCUCCGACCUGCUCCAGCCCACCCCCUCGACCAGCGAGCUCCACCACCGGCCGCUGCUCCUCUGUCGUGCUGCUACGUACUCGGUACUCCGGCCUGCUCCACCGAUUAGUGAGCUCGGCCACUGAACGCAGCUCUUGUGUCGUGUUGCUUCUCUAGCCAAAGAUUUUGUGAAGCCACCGUGAGCUAGGGGUUGCACUGCAGGAGCAUAGCCUGUACAAGUACUGAACAUUGAAGAUUGCAUCGCAGCCUGUACAAAUUGUGAACGAAGAAAGGGCAACGAAGAUAUCUAAGGUUCAGCAUGGUCAGCAAAAUGAUAACUGAAGAAUGUUGACUCUGUUGUUGAUGCCUGGGCACUAAAUAGUUGUUUACUUUUGGGAACGUGGUAGUACUUGGCAAUAUGCAAAAUGUAUUAUCUUAUUUUGUAAUUCUAUAUGGUGUCAAUCAGAAUUGGGUUUGUGAGAUAUGCCGCAAAUGUAUGAACUUCAUCAGAUUUACAAAUGAUGGUCGAAUUUGGUA